UACAGAGGUCUCAAGCGUUGUUCGGAUUCAUUGGGCGUAAAGGGUGCGUAGGUGGCGCGGUAAGUCGGGUGUGAAAUCUCGGAGCUUAACUCCGAAAUUGCAUUCGAUACUGCCGUGCUCGAGGACUGGAGAGGAGACUGGAAUUCAUGGUGUAGCAGUGAAAUGCGUAGAGAUCAUGAGGAAGACCAGUGGCGAAGGCGGGUCUCUGGACAGUUCCUGACACUGAGGCACGAAGGCCAGGGAGCAAACGGG
rnacentral:rRNA from 1 species